rnacentral:rRNA from 1 species
UUAAGACCGCAGGGAAUUACGAGCCCACCUUAAAACCCAAAGGACUUGACGGUGUCCCACCCACCUAGAGGAGCCUGUCCUAUAAUCGACACCCCCCGGUAUACCUCACCACCCCUAGCACACCCAGUCUGUAUACCUCCGUCGCAAGCUUACCAUGUGAACGCCACUAGUGAGCUUAAAGAUCUUACAUCAACACGUCAGGUCAAGGUGCAACUAACGGAGUGGAAAGCAAUGGGCUACAAUCUCUACCAUAGAACACACGAAAAGCUGCAUGAAACACAGUCAUGAAGGAGGAUUUAGUAGUAAAAAGGAAAUAGAGCGUCCUUUUUAAUUAGGCGCUGGGACGCGU